UGGAGCUGUGUGUCAGCUGUGGAGCUCUGUGGCACUGCCACGUCCAGAGAUGACACAGAGGUGUCAGAAGUGGGCACAGACCCGAGCGGGGCAGACCUGGCCAGGCUGGGGCAGAGCAGGGUGCUCUGCACAGAGGUGCAAAGCAGCAGGAGAGGUUUCAGGAAGGACUGAGGCACGAAAGCCACGUGGGCAGGGCCAGAGGCAGGUGGGGGAGAGCACUGCUUUCCCUGCAGGAGUGUUUUGACAGCUGUGGGAGCUGGGAACUGGCAGAGCAGGGAGAGCUCGGGGCAGGAGCAGUGGUGCCUUGGCAGGGCUGAGGCAGCCCCUGCAGCCAGCAGAGCUGUGUUUUACUGCCCAAAGCUUCCUCUGCAACCCCCCUCUCCUCAGCCUGCAUCUUCCACCUGCUUUUCCAUCAGCACUGCAUGCCAAAUGCCUGGAUGGGAGGGCGUCAGCAGUGGGAGGCUGUGGAGCAACAGGAGGAACGGUGGGGUGGCUUUGAACAGAGCAUCUCAACGAGCUGUUUGCAAAUUCCAUGCAAUAAAUACUGAUGGAAUGAAGCCAUCUCUGUGGGGCCAGCAGCAGUCAGAGAGCAGCAUGGUGGAUAAAGAAAGUUCUUGCCAACUCCUUUAUCUUUCCAGUUCCAGGAUCUCUAAGUCCCACGCAGAGAAGUCAGUCCAGUUUUUCCCUUGAAGAUCUGCAAAAAACAAACAACAAAUCAUUAAAACUGAAAAGAUGAAA